AUUGAACGCUGGCGGCAUGCCUUACACAUGCAAGUCGAACGGCAGCACGGGUGCUUGCCCCUGGUGGCGAGUGGCGAACGGGUGAGUAAUACAUCGGAACAUGUCCUGUAGUGGGGGAUAGCCCGGCGAAAGCCGGAUUAAUACCGCAUACGAUCCACGGAUGAAAGCGGGGGACCUUCGGGCCUCGCGCUAUAGGGUUGGCCGAUGGCUGAUUAGCUAGUUGGUGGGGUAAAGGCCUACCAAGGCGACGAUCAGUAGCUGGUCUGAGAGGACGACCAGCCCAACGGGGACUGAGAAACGGCACAAACUCAUAGGGGAGGGAGGAGGGGGGAAUUUUGGAAAAUGGGAGAAAGCCUGAUCCAAAAAUGCCGGGGGUGAAAAAAAGGCCUUGGGGUUGAAAAGCUCUUUUGACAGGAAAAAAAUCCUUGACUAUAAAACAGGGGGGGGAUGAGGGUACCGGAAAAAAAAGCACCGGCAAACUACGU
rnacentral:rRNA from 1 species